AAGGGGUGAGUAAUGUAUCGGAACGUGCCCAGUAGCGGGGGAUAACUACGCGAAAGCGUAGCUAAUACCGCAUACGCCCUACGGGGGAAAGCAGGGGAUCUUCGGACCUUGCACUAUUGGAGCGGCCGAUAUCGGAUUAGCUAGUUGGUGGGGUAACGGCCUACCAAGGCGACGAUCCGUAGCUGGUUUGAGAGGACGACCAGCCACACUGGGACUGAGACACGGCCCAGACUCCUACGGGAGGCAGCAGUGGGGAAUUUUGGACAAUGGGGGAAACCCUGAUCCAGCCAUCCCGCGUGUGCGAUGAAGGCCUUCGGGUUGUAAAGCACUUUUGGCAGGAAAGAAACGUCGCGGGCUAAUACCUCGCGAAACUGACGGUACCUGCAGAAUAAGCACCGGCUAACUACGUGCCAGCAGCCGCGGUAAUACGUAGGGUGCAAGCGUUAAUCGGAAUUACUGGGCGUAAAGCGUGCGCAGGCGGUUCGGAAAGAAAGAUGUGAAAUCCCAGAGCUUAACUUUGGAACUGCAUUUUUAACUACCGGGCUAGAGUGUGUCAGAGGGAGGUGGAAUUCCGCGUGUAGCAAUGAAAUGCGUAGAUAU
rnacentral:rRNA from 1 species